CCUUUGGGUUGUAAAGCUCUUUCGGUUGGGAAGAAGGGAGUGCGAGCUAAUACCUCAUAUUUUUGACGGUACCAGCAUAAGAAGCACCGGCUAAUUCCGUAC
rnacentral:rRNA from 1 species